UGCAAGUCGAGGGGUAACAGGGAGCUUGCUCCGCUGACGACCGGCGCACGGGUGCGUAACGCGUAUAGAACCUACCUUUUACAGGGGGAAUAGCCUUUAGAAAUGAAGAUUAAUGCCCCAUAGUAUUGCAGGCUGGCAUCAGUUUACAAUUAAAGAUUUAUCGGUAAGAGAUGGCUAUGCGUCCUAUUAGUUAGUUGGUAAGGUAACGGCUUACCAAGACACCGAUAGGUAGGGGUCCUGAGAGGGAGAUCCCCCACACUGGUACUGAGAUACGGACCAGACUCC
rnacentral:rRNA from 1 species